AGAUGUCCGAGAUCCCUUCAAGUUGGAAAACAAAGUACCAGUUUCUGAAAAAAAUAAGUUAGUCGGUGAAGCUGAUGCCCUUGCUUUAUCAAAUUGUUCCCCCCACUUACCUUUACAGCCUUCUCCUCCACCUUUACCUUCUUACCCACCUCCAUCGCCUCCACCUCCACCUCCAUCAUCACCUUUCCCCUUACCGCCGCCACCACCUCCACCUCAGCCAUCGUUUGUGCCUCCACAUCCUCCACCACCGUCUGUUCCGUAUGCUUCUCCACACUUGCAAUAUCUUUCUUCCAUGAAUCAAGAUCAUUUUAGAGCCCCU
rnacentral:lncRNA from 1 species